GUAUAUUUCUUGGAAUAUGCAUGCAGCUUGGCUAGAAAUCACUGUUUCAGACCACGGUUGGGAUAGGCUUUCUUGAGUUGAGUCAUAUUGUUUCGGGCAUUGGUGAGAUUUUUGGCUCACUCCAUAGAAUCGAAUUCAUUGUUCAAUCUUCAAAGGUGAACUGCAUCAUUCUUUCCCUCCCUUAUUCUCUUCCUCAAUCUUCAUCUCUUUCUCACUCUAUAUGUAUAUAAAAUUAUAAAUACAUGUGUGUUCCUUGAAUAACUGCUUAUUACUGGGAAUAUCAACUUAUUUUUUAUUAAAUAAUAAUAAUCCAGUUACAUGAAUAUGAAAUGCACAUUUUAUUUUUUGGAAUUCUUUGUUCUUGUGAGGUUUUAGUUAGGGAGAGAGGAAGAUAUACUCGAAUUGUAGUGAUGUUUUCCUAAAUUACGGCAAUAUUUGAAUGUCUAUUGCGCAGCAUCUAGUUUGUUUUUUUAGCCUAUUCGAUUCAACAUGGUUUAUUUUGUUUCAUUUGGAAUAUCAGCAUCUAGUAUGUCUAUUGCCCUUUUCUUGACUUUUGUGGAGUCCUUCAGUACCGGAUUGCAUUAUGUAUUUCUCUUAAGGAUUGAGUUACUUUCUAUUUUAUUGCUUUAAUUCCUUUGGAUCAAAGCCCUGGAUGUUCACCUGUGGAUCAGUUUUAACCUUGGUACCCAAGUCCAUCAGAGCGUGACCACACUAAAUCUGGUAUUGCAGACUAUUAUACAUGAUGCAAUGUAAAUGUGGAAGGGCUCACUGGAAGUCUGAUAUCAGGCCAACUUGCUCGUUGUAAGAAAUUCAUCUCUUUAUCAGUAUACAUGGGUCUGAAGCCUUUGUGUUUGGAGUUUCCCAGGGUACAAUUAUUUGCUGCUGGUUCAUUUUUUCUCAUGUUUUCAUGGCAGAGGGCUGUGGUUAAUUCCAAAGUCUUGAUAUUCUAGGUUGACAGAAAUUGAAUACAGGAGAUAUUUCUGGAGAAACUGUCGUCACAUCAAUUGCAGAGCGAUUGGUGCUUUGUUGGUACCCAAAUCUUCACUCCUUUUUUCUCAGCUUUCUAUGAAUUGAUAAUUGUCUAUCAUCAUGGAAUGAUUGGUCAAUUAUGAUUUAAUCACUCAUUGAAGAUUAAAAUGAGUUCUGUUUAGUUGGCUCACCUGUUCAGAAACAGUGUGUAAAGAUUGUGUGCAAGGGGCUGGAAACAGAUGAUAACAAUGAUGUUCUUUGUGGCCGUGGAGGAAGUUGCUCGACUUCAGAAUUGAACAGGUAGUACGAACUAUCUUUUUUGUUUUCCCCCUUUCUGUUCACCUCCGGAAGUGAGGAACAAAUCCAUAAAUUUUGAUGUUUCUAACCAUGAAUGUGGACUGGAAGAAUUAUGUGAA